CAGCGAAACCCUGGGCUGGCAGUGUUCCAUUGCAUGAUGUAGAACAAUUUAACGCGUCACAAAUUCAGUGGUCUUUGGGUGGCUUUAAGUUAUUGGUGAUUAUUCAUAAAAUUUCUAUGACAUUAAUGUACAGGUGUUUGUGUGAGCCUAAGUUGUCAUCUUUCAAGUAUGAAUGCCUAACAGAGUUAUUCUUUCAUCACGUGGUACACAUGGUGAUUUGAGUUGUGAUUCUUAGCACUUGCACCUGAAGACAAACUACAACUCCUGUGACAGCUGGCUGGUAAUCUCCGAGUUCACAAUGUUUGCAGUCUGCUUUAAUUUUGAAAAGGCAGCAAUCUCCCUCAAAAUGCUCCCUCUUGCAACUCUGCACAUUUUUCCUCUCGCAAAUCUAUUGAAUUAUCAAGUCUUUCUAGGCCUAGGACAAUGUGGAAGACAGCAUAGGCCCACAAUGAACGGCUGGUUGGAUGAAUACAAGUAUGAGUUCAGGAGAAUGUGCUUAAAUAACCGGCAACAACAGUUAUCUGAUGGAGAAAUGAGGAGAAAAGUACCUGGACAAUAAGCCAAUUUUAGGAAUUUCAGAAAUAGUCCCAGGCCCUUAUGCCACUUGGAAACUUUUCAACCCUUCAGAGCUAUAGUUCGUGAUCAGAUAACAAGCUGU
rnacentral:lncRNA from 1 species